rnacentral:lncRNA from 1 species
CACAAUUUUCUUCCAAAUCUGCGGAGUUAACUUGAGCAACACCUUGUCGCCCACACUGAAUUCCAGCAAUCUCCGCUUUUGAUUGGCAUAUUUGAGCAUUCUUUUCCUUGCCUUGCGCAAGCUAUCUUGCGCUUGCUCAAAUAGCUCCUGCCGCUCCAUCGCAAACCUGUAUGCUGCUGGACUCUUCCCACCCGAUAUCUGCACUGC